rnacentral:rRNA from 1 species
AGCGAACGCUGGCGGCAGGCCUAACACAUGCAAGUCGAACGAACCUGCCGGGGUUAGUUGCGGAGGGGGGGGGAACACGUGGUAACGUGCAUUUAGGUACGGAAUAACUCAGUUUAACUUGUGCUAAGGCCGAAUGGGCCCUUCGGGGGAAGGAUCAGUCGCCGUUAGAGCGGCCCGGGUCUGUUUAGCUAGUUGGGUGAGGGAAUGGCGCACCAAGGCGAGGUUCAGUAGCUGGGCUGUGAGGAUGAUCAGCCACAUCGGGACUGCGACACGGCCCGAACUCGUACGGGAGGGAGCAGAGGAGAAUCUAGCGGAAUGGGCGAAAGCCUGACGCAGCCAUGCCGCGUGAAUCAUGCAGGUGUUAGGAUAGUGCAAUUCUUUCACAGGGGACGAUAAUGACGGUACCCGGAGAAGAAGCCCCGGCUAACUUCGUG